UACAGAGGUCUCAAGCGUUGUUCGGAUUCAUUGGGCGUAAAGGGUGCGUAGGUGGCGGGGCAAGUCAGGUGUGAAAUCUCGGGGCUCAACCCCGAAACUGCACUUGAUACUGCCUUGCUCGAGUACUGGAGAGGAGACUGGAAUUUACGGUGUAGCAGUGAAAUGCGUAGAUAUCAAGUGGAACACCAGUGGCGAAGGCGAGUCCCUGGACAACUCCUGACACUGAGGCACGAAAGCUAGGGGAGCAAACAGG
rnacentral:rRNA from 1 species